UACAGAGGGUGCGAGCGUUAAUCGGAAUUACUGGGCGUAAAGGGCUCGUAGGCGGCCAACUAAGUCAGACGUGAAAUCCCUCAGCUUAACUGGGGAACUGCGUCUGAUACUGGAUGGCUUGGAUUCGGGAGAGGAAUGCGGAAUUCCAGGUGUAGCGGUGAAAUGCGUAGAGAUCAGGAAGAACAUCGGUGGCGAAGGCGCUCUGCUGGACCAUAACUGACACUCAGGGACGAAAGCUAGGGGAGCGAAUGGG
rnacentral:rRNA from 1 species